rnacentral:lncRNA from 1 species
GGGAAAGAAGCCUGUGGAGGGGAGUGUGGGCCAUGUCAGCCACACUGCUGACAGCCCAUCCGUUAUCCACAGGGCUUGGCAGAGAGAGGCUGAGCCCCCCACCCGGCCUGUUGUGCACUGCCCUGGCUGCUACAUCCCAUCAUCCAAUGGUCCCAGUGAAGGAACAGAGAAAAGUCAAUCCACGGAUGUCACUGAGGGUCGAGAGGAAAGAGGAAGUGGGCGGCCACAGCCUGAUGGUUCACACCUUCACGUAUCUGGAAGAUCAGAGAAGUUUCCAGAAAUUUGCAGUCCACAAGGUUAAGGAGAGCCUCCAGCCUUCAGCUCUUCAGUCCUUUCUUCUCCAAAGUACCAAGACCUUCAAAAUGCCCCACCAUGAGCCUUAGACACAAGCUAUGUUCUUCAGCGUCACACAUCUUACUGUUGGGCUCCGAGACACUCAACGGUGCAGGAAGAGGCACUGCUACCUCAGGGGUACUGAGGUACUCAGACGACCACUUCGUGGGAUUUCAAGAGAGGGUAUCCAUUUGGUUUCUUUCUGUGAUCAAAAUCCCCCACUACGAGAGCUGGCCUACCAUAUAGGUGGGAGGAGAAAUGAUUCAGU